CUACCUAUAAGACUGGGAGUAACUACUGGAAACCGGAGCUAAUACCGGAUAAUAUAUUGAACCGCAUGGUUCAAUAGUGAAAGACGGUUUUGCUGUCACUUAUAGAUGGAUCCGCGCCGCAUUAGCUAGUUGGUAAGGUAACGGCUUACCAAGGCAACGAUGCGUAGCCGACCUGAGAGGGUGAUCGGCCACACUGGAACUGAGACACGGUCCAG
rnacentral:rRNA from 1 species